AGAGUUUGAUCAUGGCUAAGAACGAACGCUGGCGGCGUGGAUAAGACAUGCAAGUCGAACGGGACUUUGAGAGUAGCAAUACAAUCGAAGUUCAGUGGCGUAAGGGUGCGUAACACGUGGGCAACCUGCCGGAAAAUGGGGAAUAGCUCGCCGAAAGGCGAAUUAAUACCGCAUGUGAUCAUCUUCCGCAUGGGAGAGACAUUAAAGUCGGGGAUCGCAAGACCUGACGUUUUCCGAUGGGCCCGCGGCCUAUCAGCUUGUUGGCGAGGUAACGGCUCACCAAGGCGAUGACGGGUAGCUGGUCUGAGAGGACGACCAGCCACACUGGAACUGAGACACGGUCCAGACACCUACGGGUGGCAGCAGUCGAGAAUCUUUCACAAUGGGGGAAACCCUGAUGGAGCGACGCCGCGUGGAGGAUGAAGGUCUUCGGAUUGUAAACUCCUGUCAUGAAAGAACAAGGUCUUACGGCUAAUACCCGGAAGGAUUGAUAGUAUUUCAAGAGGAAGAGACGGCUAACUCUGUGCCAGCAGCCGCGGUAAUUC
rnacentral:rRNA from 1 species